AGAGUUUGAUCAUGGCUCAGGAUGAACGCUAGCGACAGGCUUAACACAUGCAAGUCGAGGGGCACACAGGUAGCAAUACCGGGUGGCGACCGGCGCACGGGUGAGUAACGCGUAUGCAACUUGCCUAUCAGAGGGGGAUAACCCGGCGAAAGUCGGACUAAUACCGCAUGAAGCAGGGAUCCCGCAUGGGAAUAUUUGCUAAAGAUUCAUCGCUGAUAGAUAGGCAUGCGUUCCAUUAGGCAGUUGGCGGGGUAACGGCCCACCAAACCGACGAUGGAUAGGGGUUCUGAGAGGAAGGUCCCCCACAUUGGUACUGAGACACGGACCAAACUCCUACGGGAGGCAGCAGUGAGGAAUAUUGGUCAAUGGGCGUAAGCCUGAACUAGCCAAGUCGCGUGAGGGAUGAAGGUUCUAUGGAUCGUAAACCUCUUUUGUAAGGGAAUAAAGUGCGGGACGUGUCCCGUUUUGUAUGUACCUUAUGAAUAAGGAUCGGCUAACUCCGUGCCAGCAGCCGCGGUAAUACGGAGGAUCCGAGCGUUAUCCGGAUUUAUUGGGUUUAAAGGGUGCGUAGGCGGCCUUUUAAGUCAGCGGUGAAAGUCUUUGGCUCAACCAUAGAAUUGCCGUUGAAACUGGGAGGCUUGAGUAUGUUUGAGGCAGGCGGAAUGCGUGGUGUAGCGGUGAAAUGCUUAGAUAUCACGCAGAACCCCGAUUGCGAAGGCAGCCUGCCAAGCCAUGACUGACGCUGAUGCACGAAAGCGUGGGGAUCGAACAGGAUUAGAUACCCUGGUAGUCCACGCAGUAAACGAUGAUCACUAGCUGUUUGCGAUACACAGUAAGCGGCACAGCGAAAGCGUUAAGUGACCCACCUGGGGAGUACGCCGGCAACGGUGAAACUCAAAGGAAUUGACGGGGGCCCGCACAAGCGGAGGAACAUGUGGUUUAAUUCGAUGAUACGCGAGGAACCUUACCCGGGUUUGAACGCAUUCGGACCGAGGUGGAAACACCUUUUCUAGCAAUAGCCGUUUGCGAGGUGCUGCAUGGUUGUCGUCAGCUCGUGCCGUGAGGUGUCGGCUUAAGUGCCAUAACGAGCGCAACCCUUGCCACUAGUUACUAACAGGUAAAGCUGAGGACUCUGGCGGGACUGCCAGCGUAAGCUGCGAGGAAGGCGGGGAUGACGUCAAAUCAGCACGGCCCUUACAUCCGGGGCGACACACGUGUUACAAUGGCGUGGACAAGGGGAGGCCACCUGGCGACAGGGAGCGAAUCCCCAAACCACGUCUCAGUUCGGAUCGGAGUCUGCAACCCGACUCCGUGAAGCUGGAUUCGCUAGUAAUCGCGCAUCAGCCAUGGCGCGGUGAAUACGUUCCCGGGCCUUGUACACACCGCCCGUCAAGCCAUGGGAGCCGGGGGUACCUGAAGUCCGUAACCGCAAGGAUCGGCCUAGGGUAAAACUGGUGACUGGGGCUAAGUCGUAACAAGGUA
rnacentral:rRNA from 1 species